GACGAACGCUGGCGGCAGGCCUAACACAUGCAAGUCGUACGAGUGGCGGACGGGUGAGUAAUGUCUGGGAAACUGCCCGAUGGAGGGGGAUAACUACUGGAAACGGUAGCUAAUACCGCAUACCAUCGGAUGUGCCCAGAUGGGAUUAGCUUGUAGGUGAGGUAACGGCUCACCUAGGCGACGAGCCCCAGCUGGUCUGAGAGGAUGACCAGCAACACUGGAACUGAGACACGUUACAGAAUCUAACGGGAGGAAGCAGUGGGGAAUAUCGCACAAUGGGCGCAAGCCAGAUGCGACCAUGCCGCGUGUAGGAAGAAGGACUUCGGGUUGUAAAGUACUUGCAGCGGGGAGGCGUGACCCUCAGAAGAAGCACCGGCGAAAUCCGCGCCAGCCGCCGCAGUAAUAC
rnacentral:rRNA from 1 species